rnacentral:tRNA from 1 species
GCGGGUGUAGCUCAAUGGUAGAGUUCUGGCCUUCCAAGGCAGCUGUGAGGGUUCGAUCCCCUUCACCCGCUCCA